rnacentral:rRNA from 1 species
GACGAACGCUGGCGGCGUGCUUAACACAUGCAAGUCGAACGGAAAGGCCCUGCUUUUGUGGGGUGCUCGAGUGGCGAACGGGUGAGUAGCACGUGAGUAACCUGCCCUUGACUUUGGGAUAACUUCAGGAAACUGGGGCUAAUACCGGAUAGGAGCUCCUGCUACAUGGUGGGGGUUGGAAAGUUUCGGCGGUUGGGGAUGGACUCGCGGCUUAUCAGCUUGUUGGUGGGGUAGUGGCUUACCAAGGCUUUGACGGGUAGCCGGCCUGAGAGGGUGACCGGCCACAUUGGGACUGAGAUACGGCCCAGACUCCUACGGGAGGCAGCAGUGGGGAAUAUUGCACAAUGGGCGGAAGCCUGAUGCAGCAACGCCGCGUGCGGGAUGACGGCCUUCGGGUUGUAAACCGCUUUCGCCUGUGACGAAGCGUGAGUGACGGUAAUGGGUAAAGAAGCACCGGCUAACUACGUG